rnacentral:rRNA from 1 species
CACUAUCGUUAACUGAAUACAUAGGUUAACGAGGCGAACCGGGGGAACUGAAACAUCUAAGUACCCCGAGGAAAAGAAAUCAACCGAGAUUCCCCCAGUAGCGGCGAGCGAACGGGGAGCAGCCCAGAGUCUGAAUCAGCUUGUGUGUUAGUGGAACGGUCUGGAAAGUCCGACGGUACAGGGUGAUAGUCCCGUACACCAAAAUGCACAGGCUGUGAACUCGAAGAGUAGGGCGGGACACGUGGUAUCCUGUCUGAAUAUGGGGGGACCAUCCUCCAAGGCUAAAUACUCCUGACUGACCGAUAGUGAACCAGUACCGUGAGGGAAAGGCGAAAAGAACCCCGGCGAGGGGAGUGAAAAAGAACCUGAAACCGUGUACGUACAAGCAGUGGGAGCACCUUCGGGUGUGACUGCGUACCUUUUGUAUAAUGGGUCAGCGACUUAUAUUCUGUAGCAAGGUUAACCGUAUAGGGGAGCCGCAGGGAAACCGAGUCUUAACUGGGCGUUAAGUUGCAGGGUAUAGACCCGAAACCCGGUGAUCUAGCCAUGGGCAGGUUGAAGGUUGGGUAACACUAACUGGAGGACCGAACCGACUAAUGUUGAAAAAUUAGCGGAUGACUUGUGGCUGGGGGUGAAAGGCCAAUCAAACCGGGAGAUAGCUGGUUCUCCCCGAAAGCUAUUUAGGUAGCGCCUCGUGAACUCAUCUUCGGGGGUAGAGCACUGUUUCGGCUAGGGGGUCAUCCCGACUUACCAACCCGAUGCAAACUACGAAUACCGAAGAAUGUUAUCACGGGAGACACACGGCGGGUGCUAACGUCCGUCGUGAAGAGGGAAACAACCCAGACCGCCAGCUAAGGUCCCAAAGUCAUGGUUAAGUGGGAAACGAUGUGGGAAGGCACAGACAGCCAGGAUGUUGGCUUAGAAGCAGCCAUCAUUUAAAGAAAGCGUAAUAGCUCACUGGUCGAGUCGGCCUGCGCGGAAGAUGUAACGGGGCUAAACCAUGCACCGAAGCUGCGGCAGCGACACUAUGUGUUGUUGGGUAGGGGAGCGUUCUGUAAGCCUGCGAAGGUGACCUGUGAGGGUUGCUGGAGGUAUCAGAAGUGCGAAUGCUGACAUAAGUAACGAUAAAGCGGGUGAAAAGCCCGCUCGCCGGAAGACCAAGGGUUCCUGUCCAACGUUAAUCGGGGCAGGGUGAGUCGACCCCUAAGGCGAGGCCGAAAGGCGUAGUCGAUGGGAAACAGGUUAAUAUUCCUGUACUUGGUGUUACUGCGAAGGGGGGACGGAGAAGGCUAUGUUAGCCGGGCGACGGUUGUCCCGGUUUAAGCAUGUAGGCUGGUUGUCCAGGCAAAUCCGGAUAAUCAAGGCUGAGGUGUGAUGACGAGGCACUACGGUGCUGAAGUAACAAAUGCCCUGCUUCCAGGAAAAGCCUCUAAGCAUCAGGUAACAUUAAAUCGUACCCCAAACCGACACAGGUGGUCAGGUAGAGAAUACCAAGGCGCUUGAGAGAACUCGGGUGAAGGAACUAGGCAAAAUGGUGCCGUAACUUCGGGAGAAGGCACGCUGGUGUGUAGGUGAAGCCCCUGCGGGUGGAGCUGAGACCAGUCGAAGAUACCAGCUGGCUGCAACUGUUUAUUAAAAACACAGCACUGUGCAAACACGAAAGUGGACGUAUACGGUGUGACGCCUGCCCGGUGCCGGAAGGUUAAUUGAUGGGGUUAUCCGUAAGGAGAAGCUCUUGAUCGAAGCCCCGGUAAACGGCGGCCGUAACUAUAACGGUCCUAAGGUAGCGAAAUUCCUUGUCGGGUAAGUUCCGACCUGCACGAAUGGCGUAAUGAUGGCCAGGCUGUCUCCACCCGAGACUCAGUGAAAUUGAACUCGCUGUGAAGAUGCAGUGUACCCGCGGCAAGACGGAAAGACCCCGUGAACCUUUACUAUAGCUUGACACUGAACAUUGAGCCUUGAUGUGUAGGAUAGGUGGGAGGCUUUGAAGCGUGGACGCCAGUCUGCGUGGAGCCAACCUUGAAAUACCACCCUUUAAUGUUUGAUGUUCUAACGUUGGCCCCUGACCGGGGUUGCGGACAGUGUCUGGUGGGUAGUUUGACUGGGGCGGUCUCCUCCCAAAGCGUAACGGAGGAGCACGAAGGUUAGCUAAUCCUGGUCGGACAUCAGGAGGUUAGUGCAAUGGCAUAAGCUAGCUUGACUGCGAGCGUGACGGCGCGAGCAGGUGCGAAAGCAGGUCAUAGUGAUCCGGUGGUUCUGAAUGGAAGGGCCAUCGCUCAACGGAUAAAAGGUACUCCGGGGAUAACAGGCUGAUACCGCCCAAGAGUUCAUAUCGACGGCGGUGUUUGGCACCUCGAUGUCGGCUCAUCACAUCCUGGGGCUGAAGUAGGUCCCAAGGGUAUGGCUGUUCGCCAUUUAAAGUGGUACGCGAGCUGGGUUUAGAACGUCGUGAGACAGUUCGGUCCCUAUCUGCCGUGGGCGCUGGAGAAUUGAGGGGGGCUGCUCCUAGUACGAGAGGACCGGAGUGGACGCAUCACUGGUGUUCGGGUUGUCAUGCCAAUGGCACUGCCCGGUAGCUAAAUGCGGAAGAGAUAAGUGCUGAAAGCAUCUAAGCACGAAACUUGCCCCGAGAUGAGUUCUCCCUGAGACUUUAAGUCUCCUGAAGGAACGUU